rnacentral:rRNA from 1 species
GACGAGGGAUCCUAGCGUUGUUCGGAAUCAUUGGGCGUAAAGAGUAUGUAGGCGGCUUUGUAAGUCAGUUGUGAAAUCCCCGGGCUCAACCCGGGAAGUGCAAAUGAUACUGCUAAGCUUGAAUUUGGAAGAGGGUAGUGGAAUUCCUGGUGUAGUGGUGAAAUACGUAGAUAUCAGGAGGAACACCGGUGGCGAAGGCGGCUACCUGGUCCUAAAUUGACGCUGAGAUACGAAAGCAUGGGGAUCAAACAGG